GUUAGCUACUCGGGCUGGGGUAAAAAUGGAACAAAGAGGAAACCAAAAGAAGAGUGGGCUUCCUGGGGGAGACCGUCAUCAGCCCCGUGUGGGCGCAGCCCUGGAGAAAGCCCCGUGCGGGUCCCAGCCGCGAGGCCAGCCCCUCUGGGUGCGGGUCCUCCCUGGCUCCGGGGCUGUCGGAUGUCAGCUUGGGGCAGAGGAGGCUGCAGAGGAUGCCAUCAUGGAGGUGGGGGGGAGGCCAGAGCCGACGAGCCUGGAAAGAUCUAAAGCAGGUGACUAUAAGAUUUAAGCAACUAUUGUGUUCUGCAGAGCGAGCAGAGAUGUUUCAGACUGAUGCAAAUUUAGACAUGUGUGGUACAUACAAUAAACUUUUUAAUGUGUUUUACUUUUUGGUAUUUUUUAUUAGACUUACUAAAUAAAACUUUGUUCUAGGCUGAUCUAUUCUUUACCACCAAAAAAAAAAAUUUCUGCCAGGCUGCUCAUCUUUCUUCAGAAGAUUUGGGUGCUGUUUGUUUGGGGUUUUUUGUUUUUCAUUAAAGUAUAGUUGAAAUAUAAUGUGUGUCAAUUUCUGCUGUACAGCAAAGUGACCCGGUCACACCCAUAGGUACAUCCCUUUUCUUCUAUUAUCUUCCAUCCGGGUCUAUCCCAAGAGACUGGAUGCAGUUCCCUGUGCUGUACAGGGAGGACCUCAUUGCUUAUCCACUCCAAAUGCAACAGUUUGCAGCUACUAACCCCAAACUUCCAGUCCAUCCCACUCCUCCCCCAACCUCCUUGGCAACCACCAGUCUGUUCUCCGUGUCUGAAUCUGUUUCUGUUCUGUAGACAGGUUCGUUUGUGCCAUAUUUUAGAUUCCCCAUGUAAGUGAUAUAUGGUAUUUCUGGUUCACUUCACAUAGUAUGAUAAUCUCUAGCUGCAUCCACGUUGCUACAAAUGGCAUUAUUUCAUUGUUUUUUAUGGCUGAGUAGUAUUCCAUUGUGAAUAUGUACCGUAUCUCCUCAAUCCGUUUAUCGGUGGAGGGCCAUUUAGGCUGUUGCCGUGUCUUGGCGAUUGUGAACAGUGCUGCCGUGAACAACUGGGGUGCAUGUGAUCUUUUUCACGGACAGUUUUGUCCUGAAUCAUACCCAGGAAUGGGACUGCUGGCUCAUAGGGUUGUUCUGUUUUCAGGUUUCUGAGGACCCUGCGUGCUGUUCUCCGUCAUAGUUGUACCAGGUUACAUGCCCUUUUCUCCACACUCUCCAGCAUUUGUUGUGUGUAGGCUUAUUAAUGAUGGCUGUUCUGACCAGUGUGAGGUGGUACCUCAUUGUGGUUUUGAUGUGCUUUUCUCUCAUAAUUAGUGAUAUGGAGCAUCUUUGAUGUGCCCUACUGGCCAUCUGUAUGUCUUCUUUGGAGAAAUGUCUUUUUAGGUCUUCUGCCAUUUUUCAAUUGUGUUGUUUUUGUCGUUGUUGAGUUGUAUGUCUAUGGUUUCUCUUUUUGAAGUGAGAGGGGCCCUUUCGCUUCUGUAAGUAGGACUGGCCCUGGGAGGCCCAUCCUGAGGCUUGGUCGGGGCCAUCAGGCUGCUCAGAGUAGGAACUGAGGUGACUCUGGGGGGUCUAGCUGGUCCCAAGCGCAGACGUCAACUUGACCCAAGUGUCAACAGCUCAGGCUGUGGGGACAUCCUUGACCGCGUUCCCUGGCAGGGUGACAAGACGGCCUCAGAGUGCAGUUGCGUGUGUCAUCUCCGAGGCAAAUCUCAAUGCACCCUGUGCACUUCCAGUGCCAGAGGUCACAGCAAAGAGCAACCGUGUCCCAAAACACACCGUCUCCUCCGUUCCUUCCCACCCCCGGACAGCACCUAGCAAAGCAAAGCCAAACCAGAGGCAAAAUUCUCUCUCGAGACUUCACUGCUCUCCCAGAGGAUGGAGAGCAAAGAGCCCCCCGAAGGAUCACAGGGUGAGGCCGAAGCUAAAGAGGAUUAACUGCCACCCCAGGCUCUUGUUUUCUGGCCAGGGUUCCCUCGCGAGUGUGCUUACAUUGCACAGAGCUUCGUCCGGCUGAAAGCCUCGCCGCCGCCUCUUCAGCCCUUUAACUUAAUGGGAAUUGAGAUCCCGGUGGCAGCGUGACCAGUGGCCACGCCCCUUGGUGGCAGAGCCAGGAGCCCCUCAGGUUUGUCCUGGCUUCUUCCGGCCUCUUUUCCAGCUCCCUGCCCAGUGGUGGUCCGUUACCGUCCAUCCUUUUCCUGCAGUUCCCGGCCAGCAUCCCCUUCAUCUGUCACCACCCUCUGGGACACCCCGGUCCUCCUCAACCCUCGCGUGUCUGACGGCACCCCCCCUCCCCCGCCUGCUCUCGAUUCCUGUGCAUGGGACGCAAUUGGCACCCAGGCUGGAAAGCAAGUUCCCAGAGCACCCACGCCUUGUCCAGACACCUGGGAAUCCCAGGCUGGGGGCGGGGGAGGGCCAUGCCUGGGGCCCUGUGCCAGCGGCGCAUCGGCGAGCCUUUUGCUUUGGUUUCCUAAGGUCAAGAAAAGCCCAUUUAGGCUUUGAAUUUUGUGCGGAAAUUAGCAGUUUGGGCCUCAAUUUCAGAUGAAAAUUUUCCAGGCUGGAAAAUAAGAGGAAGAAGGGGGAAAUUGUGUGCAGUGAACCACACCCUCUUCCCAGACAAAGGAAAACCUGCCUCCAAAUUCCUGGUGGAGUUUGGGAUUGGAAAGGUAACAUCGGAGUUGCCACCACGGCUCAUCAGAAAUGAACCUGACCAGUAUCCAUGAGGAUGCGGGUUCAAUCCCUGGCCUCACUCAGUGGGUUAAGGAUACGGUGUUGCCGCGUGGUGCAGGUCGCAGCUGUAGCUCGGAUCCUGAGUUGCUGGGGCUGUGGUGUAUAGGCCGGCAGCUACAGCUCCAAUUCAGCCCCUAGCCUGAGAACCUCUGUGUGCCCCCACCCCCUCCCCAGGGCUGCUCAGGGAAUCCGGUCACGCUCCCCACAGUUAACAUUCUGCUCAAGACCUGAGCUCCGGUGUCCUGCCGGAGAAUUCCAGCCCCUGGCAGCCUGCAGGAGCAGUGGCAGGAGAGAAGGAAAGUUGCACGGGUUCCACCUCCAGACUUUGCCUGGGGACCGUCCUGAUGGCCUGCCAAGCGCCCCACUCCCCCUGCCCCAACCAU
ensembl:lncRNA